rnacentral:rRNA from 1 species
GACGAACGCUGGCGGCGUGCUUAACACAUGCAAGUCGAACGGAAAGGCCCUGCUUUUGUGGGGUGCUCGAGUGGCGAACGGGUGAGUAACACGUGAGUAACCUGCCCUUGACUUUGUGAUAACUUCAGGAAACUGGUGCUAAUACCGGAUAGGAGCUCCUGCUGCAUGGUGGUGGUUGGAAAGUUUCGGCGGUUGGGGAUGGACUCGCGGCUUAUCAGCUUGUUGGGGGGGGAGUGGCUUACCAAGGCUUUGACGGGUAGCCGGCCUGAGAGGGUGACCGCCCACAUUGGGACUGCGAUACGGCCCAGACUCCUACGGGAGGCAGCAGUGGGGAAUAUUGCACAAUGGGCGGAAGCCUGAUGCAGCAACGCCGCGUGCGGGAUGACGGCCUUCGGGUUGUAAACCGCUUUCGCCUGUGACGAAGCGUGAGUGACGGUAAUGGGUAAAGAAGCACCGGCUAACUACGUG